rnacentral:lncRNA from 1 species
UACGGGACUGGGUGUGUUAGCUACGGGACUGGGUGUGUUAGAUACGGGACUGGGUGUGUUAGCUAUAGGGUGUGUUAGCUAUAGGACUGGGUGUGUUAGCUAUAGGGCUGGGUGUGUUAGAUAUAGGGCUGGGUGUGUUAGCUAUAGGACUGGGUGUGUUAGUUAUAAGACUGGGUGUGUUAGCUACGGGACUGGGUGUGUUAGCUACGGGACUGGGUGUGUUAGCUACGGGACUGGGUGUGUUAGCUAUAGGCUGUGUUAGCUAUAGGACUGGGUGUGUUAGCUAUAGGACUGGGUGUGUUAGCUAUAGGACUGGGUGUGUUAGCUAUAGGGCUGGGUGUGUUAGCUAUAGGGCUGGGUGUGUUAGAUACGGGACUGGGUGUGUUAGCUACGGGACUGGGUGUGUUAGCUACGGGACUGGGUGUGUUAGCUACGGGACUGGGUGUGUUAGCUACGGGACUGGGUGUGUUAGCUAUAGGGCUGGGUGUGUUAGCUAUAGGGCUGGGUGUGUUAGCUAUAGGACUGGGUGUGUUAGCUAUAGGACUGGGUGUGUUAGGUACGGGACUGGGUGUGUUCGCUAUAGGACUGGGUGUGUUAGCUAUAGGACUGAGUGUGUGUUAGCUACAGGACUGGGUGUGUUAGCUACAGGACUGGGUGUCUUAGCUAUAGGACUGGGUGUCUUAGCUAUAGGACUGGGUGUUAGCUAUAGGACUGGGUGUUAGCUACAGGACUGGGU